rnacentral:rRNA from 1 species
AUUGAACGCUGGCGGCAUGCCUUACACAUGCAAGUCGAACGGUAACAGGUCUUCGGAUGCUGACGAGUGGCGAACGGGUGAGUAAUACAUCGGAACGUGCCCGAGAGUGGGGGAUAACGAGGCGAAAGCUUUGCUAAUACCGCAUACGAUCUCAGGAUGAAAGCAGGGGACCGCAAGGCCUUGCGCUCACGGAGCGGCCGAUGGCAGGUUAGGUAGUUGGUGGGAUAAAAGCUUACCAAGGCGACGAUCCGUAGCUGGUCUGAGAGGACUGCCAGCCACACGGGGACUGAGACACGGCUCAGACUCCUACGGGAAGCAGCAGUGGGGAAUUUUGGACGAUGGGCGCAAGCCGGAGCCAGCCAUGCCGCGUGCAGGAUGAAGGCCUUCGGGUUGUGAACUGCUUUUGGACUGAACGAAAAGACUCUGGUUAAUAUCUGGGGUCCAUGACGGUACCGUAAGAAUAAGCACCGGCUAACUACGUGCCAGCAGCCGCAGUAAUAC